rnacentral:rRNA from 1 species
UGCCACAGCCAUGUCACCCUGCAGCCCAAGACCGGUUACUCACUGAAGCUAAGCAGGGCUGAGCCUGGUCAGUACCUGGAUGGGAGACCACAAGGGAACACUAGGUUGCUGUUGGAA